UAGUGUUCAUACCUACUAUUACUUUGUUCCUACCGAUCAGUAUUGUCCCUAACCUUAAAUAUGUGUGUAUGCAUAUUUAUGUAUGUAGUUCAUGAAAAGAUGACUAUAAAAGCGAUGGAAAUCCGUCGAAGAUCGCAUUCGAAUCAAGCACAUCACAUCAUACACUUCCUGUACAUUCAAUAUUUUUGAAAGUCCUUCCAAGAAUCGAAUCAAGCACAUCACAUCAUACACUUUGAUAUCCCUUACUCCACAUUCAAUAUUUUUGAACGUCCUUUUAAGAGACGAUCGUAACCAAUGGCUUUCAUCAGCACUGGUUUUGGCAGCAGUGGGGUCAUCGCCAAGAUGUCGGCCUGGUUGGGCGUCUGGCCGAAACGAGGUUCUGAUGACAGCUAUCCACCACCCCCAUGCCGAGGGUGCGGCCAAACCUCGCACUGUACGUGCAAAUAAAUGUACGAGGAGCAAAUGUAGAAUUUCAUAGCAAUUUGUUAUUCUUGAACUGAAAAUUUGAUCUUUAAUUUUAAUUUUCAAAAUGCAUACAUUUAAAUUUUUUACACUCUAAAUUCUUAUAAAAGUGACGCUAUAAGAAGACGAAAGAAAUGUAAUAAUAAUAAAAAUACAUAUUUUUUAAA